rnacentral:rRNA from 1 species
AUUGAACGCUGGCGGCAGGCCUAACACAUGCAAGUCGAACGGUAACAGGAAACAGCUUGCUGUUUCGCUGACGAGUGGCGGACGGGUGAGUAAUGUCUGGGAAACUGCCUGAUGGAGGGGGAUAACUACUGGAAACGGUAGCUAAUACCGCAUAACGUCGCAAGACCAAAGAGGGGGACCUUCGGGCCUCUUGCCAUCGGAUGUGCCCAGAUGGGAUUAGCUAGUAGGUGGGGUAACGGCUCACCUAGGCGACGAUCCCUAGCUGGUCUGAGAGGAUGACCAGCCACACUGGAACUGAGACACGGUCCAGACUCCUACGGGAGGCAGCAGUGGGGAAUAUUGCACAAUGGGCGCAAGCCUGAUGCAGCCAUGCCGCGUGUAUGAAGAAGGCCUUCGGGUUGUAAAGUACUUUCAGCGGGGAGGAAGGGAGUAAAGUCAAUACCUUUGCUCAUUGACGUUACCCGCAGAAGAAGCACCGGCUAACUCCGUGCCAGCCGCCGCCGUAACAC